CCUACGGGUGGCUGCAGUGGGGAAUAUUGGACAAUGGGCGAAAGCCUGAUCCAGCCAUGCCGCGUGUGUGAAGAAGGCCUUCGGGUUGUAAAGCACUUUCAGUGUGGAAGAAAGCCUUGGGGCUAAUACCCUCGAGGAAGGACAUCACCCACAGAAGAAGCACCGGCUAACUCCGUGCCAGCAGCCGCGGUAAUACGGAGGGUGCGAGCGUUAAUCGGAAUUACUGGGCGUAAAGCGCGCGUAGGCGGUCUGAUAAGCCGGUUGUGAAAGCCCCGGGCUCAACCUGGGAACGGCAUCCGGAACUGUCAGGCUAGAGUGCAGGAGAGGAAGGUAGAAUUCCCGGUGUAGCGGUGAAAUGCGUAGAGAUCGGGAGGAAUACCAGUGGCGAAGGCGGCCUUCUGGACUGACACUGACGCUGAGGUGCGAAAGCGUGGGUAGCAAACAGGAUUAGAUACCCCAGUAGUC
rnacentral:rRNA from 1 species